CUCAACAUGCAAGUCUAGGGGGUGUAGCAAUACAUCACCGGCGGUGGGUGCGUAACGCGUGGGAAUAUACCUAUUGGUUCGGAACAACUGAGGGAAACUUCAGCUAAUACCGAAUGUGCCCUUACGGGGAAAGAUUAUCGGCAAUGGAUUAGCCCGCGUCCGAUUAGCUAGUUGGUGGGGUAACGGNCCACCAAGGCUCCGAUCGGUAGCUGUUCUGAGAGGAAGAUCAGCCACACUGGGACUGAGACACGGNCCAGACUCGUACGGGAGGCAGCAGUUGGGAAUCUUGGACAAUGGGGGAAACCCUGAUCCAGCCAUGCCGCGUGAGUGAUGAAGGCCUUCGGGUUGUAAAACUCUUUCGACGGGGACGAUAAUGACGGUACCCGUAGAAGAAGCUCCGGCUAACUUCGUGCCAGCAGCCGCGGUAAUACGAAGGGGGCUAGCGUUGUUCGGAAUUACUGGGCGUAAAGCGCG
rnacentral:rRNA from 1 species